rnacentral:rRNA from 1 species
GAUCAGGCUGUUGGUGAGGUAAUGGCCCACUAAACCUGUAACCGGUACGGGCUCUGAGAGGAGGAGCCCGGAGAUGGGCACUGAGACAAGGGCCCAGGCCCUAUGGGGCGCAGCAGGCGCGAAACCUCUGCAAUAGGCGAAAGCUUGACAGGGUUACUCUGAGUGAUUUCCGUUAAGGAGAUCUUUUGGCACCUCUAAAAAUGGUGCAGAAUAAGGGGUGGGCAAGUCUGGUGUCAGCCGCCGCGGUAAUACCAGCACCCCGAGUGGUCGGGACGUUUAUUGGGCCUAAAGCAUCCGUAGCCGGUUCUACAAGUCUUCCGUUAAAUCCACCUGCUUAACAGAUGGGCUGCGGAAGAUACUAUAGAGCUAGGAGGCGGGAGAGGCAAGCGGUACUCGAUGGGUAGGGGUAAAAUCCGUUGAUCCAUUGAAGACCACCAGUGGCGAAGGCGGCUUGCCAGAACGCGCUCGACGGUGAGGGAUGAAAGCUGGGGGAGCAAACCGGAUUAGAUACCCGGGUAGUCCCAGCUGUAAACGAUGCAGACUCGGUGAU